rnacentral:rRNA from 1 species
GCUGGCGGCGUGCUUAACACAUGCAAGUCGAGUGCGCGUUUCCGUAGCAAUACGGAGAUGGCGCACGGCGCACGGGUGCGUAACACGUGGGUAAUCUGCCCUCUGAUGGGGAAUAACUCGCCGAAAGGCGAGCUAAUACCGCAUAACAUUCCUUGGACUCCGGUCCGAGGAUUCAAAGGCGUAAGUCGUCGGAGGUGGAGCCCGCGCACGAUUAGCUAGUUGGUGAGGUAAUGGCUCACCAAGGCUAUGAUCGUUAGCUGGUCUGAGAGGAUGGCCAGCCACACUGGAACUGAGACACGGUCCAGACUCCUACGGGAGGCAGCAGUGGGGAAUCUUGCACAAUGGGCGAAAGCCUGAUGCAGCGACGCUGCGUGGGGGAUGAAGCUUCUCGGAGUGUAAACCCCUUUCGACCGGGACGAAUACCUCGCAAGAGGGGUGACGGUACCGGUAUAAGAAGCCCCGGCUAACUACGUGCCAGCAGCCGCGGUAAGACGUAGGGGGCCAGCGUUGCUCGGAAUUACUGG